rnacentral:rRNA from 1 species
GAGUCCUACGGGAGGCAGCAGUGGGGAGUAUUGCACAAUGGGGGAAACCCUGAUGCAGCGGCGCCGCGUGAGCGAAGAAGUAUUUCGGUAUGUAAAGCUCUAUCAGCAGGGAAGAAAAAUGACGGUACCUGAGUAAGAAGCACCGGCUAAAUACGUGCCAGCAGCCGCGGUAAUACGUAUGGUGCAAGCGUUAUCCGGAUUUACUGGGUGUAAGGGGAGCGCAGGCGGUGCGGCAAGUCUGAUGGGAAAGCCCGGGGCUCAACCCCGGGACGGCAUUGGAAACUACCGAACUAUAGUGCCGGAGG